AUAAAGCCUUUAGGCCUGUUUAUUUUAGGGGAAAAUCGACCUAUACAGGAGGCUUUGCUCUGCAUAUAAUUAUCUGCAAGCCUUUGCACCACAGCUAAAGCUAUCCUUGAGCCCAAUCGUGAGCUACUACUAUUAGUCUGUCACACAAACUGUGUAUCCAGCUGGAGCUAGCCUAAGAGAGAUUUUACUGAGACUAGUGAUACACUUUCAACAGCUUACGGGCAGGCGCAGGCUGGGGCAAGUAGUAGCUCACAAAACUAAUAGAAUCUCAAGGAUAGCUCAGCUGACAACCUGCUGUGGUGCAAAGCCUUUCCAAAGGCUCUUAGCUUUCUGAUGUAAGUCGAUGUUUUCCCAGUUUAACAAAAAUGAAUAGGCUCUAUUGGAGAAAAAUUGGUUUGGAAUGAAUCUCUUUACCAAGGUUCACGUGACAGGUACUUCCGCUCUCGACAUUACAGUUGCAAGAACACCUCAAAUCCCUGUAACACUAUCCUUUUGAUAGUGUGACUACGUCCUAGGCCUUAUACAUUUAAAGGUUCUCUCAGGAGGACCGACCACAGCUUAUUAAGCAGUAUACAAGCAUCAUAUCACCUUCUAGGUACGUAUAGGGUCUUUGAAUAACGUUGUGUAACUAGAUAAUAGAAUUGGCUAUCUUUACCAAAUCACCAAACCAGCAGAGAAGAGACCCUGCAUGCUGGUGCAACUUACAGAGCUCUUGUGAAACUACUCCUAAGAAUGAGGAAAUAUGACAUUGCUAGUAAAGUGAAGUGUUCAAACAUUGCCAAGAGAAUGUGUUGUACAGUGCGUGAGGUGUGUGCCAAGUUCACCUCCAUGCCAUUGUCACUGAGGUGACGAGUACUGUCUCAAUACUAGCCCUUUAAAAUAGUGUGCGAGGAGGAGGUCAAGGCGAGGAUGGGAUUGGUGGAGUGUGUCAACCACAACCUAGUGGAGCCCUACCAUCAUCUACGAGAAACACGGUGAGUAUGUUGCACAGAUGAAGAGUUCAUUCUGCUGCUAAUGCCCAAUGGACCACAAAGAUGAACAUCUGAAACUCUCCUGCCUGUACAAUUCAUGUUGUGUAGUGCAGGCUGUGUAUAUCACAGUGUUCUGUAGUGCAUAAAGUUUGAGGUGUACGUACGUAUGACAUCAUUGCCAUUGUUUGUCUGGUGUGUUCAUGCACUGUAUUGGUUUGAUUGUGUGUACACUACAACAUUCAGUGAUUGUCAUUCCCCACAGACUCACCAUGCAGUGGCUCCUUUGACCCUGCAUGAGCUAGUGUCUUCACAGCUGAAACUGGAAACGACCCUCAACUGAAUGUAACGCUGGCUACAGUGUGCUGGUGAGCUGCAGUGAGAAGAUAGUCCAGUCACUCUCUGAGGACCCAAAGGCCUUGGCCCUCCACCUCCUGUCAGCUAGGCUCAUCACUGUGUCCAUUCUUGAGAAAACCAACGAGUAUGUGAAUGAGACCAAGAGAGAGAGAAGGCCACCAGACUGUACACUGCCCUGCUGGGUGUGGUCAAACAUCACCCCCACAAGUACCACGAGUUUGUCUCCACUCUCAGACUCAACCCACUACACACUGACUUGGUCACACUAGUUAUCAACAACAUGAUUAUACAUGAGAUUGUGUUGUGCAUGCUUUUGGUUCUUUGACUUAUUUUUUGCAUUGACAAUCUUUACUCAAAUUAGCUUUUUUGUGCUUUGAAUCUACAUCGUAAAUUUUGGCUAAUAAA